CCUACGGGUGGCAGCAGUGAGGAAUAUUGGUCAAUGGUCGGGAGACUGAACCAGCCAAGCCGCGUGAGGGAGGAAGGUACAGAGUAUCGUAAACCUCUUUUGUCAGGGAACAAAGGCGGGGACGUGUCCCCGGAUGAGUGUACCUGAAGAAAAAGCAUCGGCUAACUCCGUGCCAGCAGCCGCGGUAAUACGGAGGAUGCGAGCGUUAGCCGGAUUUAAUGGGGUUAAAGGGUGCGCAGGCGGUCUGUUAAGUCAGCGGUCAAAGCCCGGGGCCUAAACCCGGCCCGGCGUUGGAACCGGGCAGUCUCGAGUUGGAGAGAAGUAUGCGGAAUGCGCGGUGUAGCGGUGAAAUGCAUAGAUAUCGCGCAGAACUCCGAUUGCGAAGGCAGCAUGCCGGCUCCACACUGACGCUGAGGCACGAAAGCGUGGGUAUCGAACAGGAUUAGAUACCCGUGUAGUC
rnacentral:rRNA from 1 species